GAUGAACGCUGGCGGCGUGCCUAAUACAUGCAAGUCGAGCGAACAGACGAGGAGCUUGCUCCUCUGACGUUAGCGGCGGACGGGUGAGUAACACGUGGAUAACCUACCUAUAAGAUUGGGAUAACUUCGGGAAACCGGAGCUAAUACCGGAUAAUAUAUUGAACCGCAUGGUUCAAUAGUGAAAGACGGUUUUGCUGUCACUUAUAGAUGGAUCCGCGCCGCAUUAGCUAGUUGGUAAGGUAACGGCUUACCAAGGCGACGAUGCGUAGCCGACCUGAGAGGGUGAGCGGCCACACUGGAACUGAGACACGGUCCAGACUCCUACGGGAGGCAGCAGUAGGGAAUCUUCCGCAAUGGGCGAAAGCCUGACGGAGCAACGCCGCGGGAGUGAUGAAGGUCUUCGGAUCGUAAAACUCUGUUAUUAGGGAAGAACAAAUGUGUAAGUAACUAUGCACGUCUUGACGGUACCUAAUCAGAAAGCCACGGCUAACUACGUGC
rnacentral:rRNA from 1 species